rnacentral:rRNA from 1 species
AGCAUAUCAAUAAGCGGAGGAAAAGAAACUAACAAGGAUUCCCCUAGUAACUGCGAGUGAAGCGGGAAAAGCUCAAAUUUAAAAUCUGGCAGUCUUUGGCUGUCCGAGUUGUAAUCUAGAGAAGUGUUAUCCGCGCUGGACCGUGUACAAGUCUCCUGGAAUGGAGCGUCAUAGAGGGUGAGAAUCCCGUCUUUGACACGGACUACCAGGGCUUUGCGAUGCGCUCUCAAAGAGUCGAGUUGUUUGGGAAUGCAGCUCAAAAUGGGUGGUAAAUUCCAUCUAAAGCUAAAUAUUGGCGAGAGACCGAUAGCGAACAAGUACCGUGAGGGAAAGAUGAAAAGAACUUUGGAAAGAGAGUUAAACAGUACGUGAAAUUGCUGAAAGGGAAACGCUUGAAGUCAGUCGCGUCGUCCAGGGAUCAACCUUGCUUUUGCUUGGUGCACUUUCUGGUUGACGGGUCAGCAUCAAUUUUGACUAUUGGAAAAAGAUCAAGGGAAUGUGGCAUCUUUGGAUGUGUUAUAGCCCUUGGUUGCAUACAAUGGUUGGGAUUGAGGAACUCAGCACGCCGCAAGGCCGGGUUUUUAACCACGUACGUGCUUAGGAUGUUGGCAUAAUGGCUUUAAUCGACCCGUCUUGAAACACGGACCAAGGAGUCUAACAUGCCUGCGAGUGUUUGGGUGGAAAACCCGAGCGCGCAAUGAAAGUGAAAGUUGAGAUCCCUGUCGUGGGGAGCAUCGACGCCCAGACCAGACCUUUUGUGACGGAUCUGCGGUAGAGCAUGUAUGUUGGGACCCGAAAGAUGGUGAACUAUGCCUGAAUAGGGUGAAGCCAGAGGAAACUCUGGUGGAGGCUCGUAGCGAUUCUGACGUGCAAAUCGAUCGUCAAAUUUGGGUAUAGGGGCGAAAGACUAAUCGAACCAUCUAGUAGCUGGUUCCUGC